rnacentral:rRNA from 1 species
UACGGAGGGUGCAAGCGUUAUCCGGAUUCACUGGGUUUAAAGGGUGCGUAGGCGGGUAGGUAAGUCCGUGGUGAAAUCUCUGAGCUUAACUCAGAAACUGCCGUGGAUACUAUUUGCCUUGAAUAUUGUGGAGGUGAGCGGAAUAUGUCAUGUAGCGGUGAAAUGCUUAGAUAUGACAUAGAACACCAAUUGCGAAGGCAGUUCACUACACAAUGAUUGACGCUGAGGCACGAAAGCGUGGGGAUCAAACAGG